AUUGAACGCUGGCGGCAGGCCUUACACAUGCAAGUCGAACGAGUGGCGGACGGGUGAGUAAUGUCUGGGAACCUGCCUAAUAGCGGGGGAUAACUACUGGAAACGGUAGCUAAUACCGCAUACCAUCAGAUGUGCCCAUAUGGGAUUAGCUAGUUGGUGGGGUAAAGGCUCACCAAGGCGACGAUCCCUAGCUGGUCUGAGAGGAUGACCAGCCACACUGGGACUGAGACACGGCCCAGACUCCAACGGGAGGCAGCAGUGGGGAAUAUUGGACAAUGGGGGAAAGCCUGAUCCAGCCAUGCCGCGUGUAUGAUGAAGGCCUUCGGGUUGUAAAGUACUUUUGGCGGGGAAGCGGUACCUGCAGAAUAAGCACCGGCUAACUCCGUGCCAGCAGCCGCGGUAAUAC
rnacentral:rRNA from 1 species